rnacentral:rRNA from 1 species
UACGUAGGGGGCUAGCGUUGUCCGGAAUCAUUGGGCGUAAAGCGCGUGUAGGCGGCCCGGUAAGUCCGCUGUAAAACUCGAGGCUCAACCUCGAGACGCCGAUGGAAACCCUCAGACUAGAGUCCGGAAGAGGAGAGUGGAAUUCCUGGUGUAGCGGUGAAAUGCGCAGAUAUCAGGAAGAACACCCGUGGCUAAGGCGGCUCUCUAGUACGGUACUGACGCUGAGACGCGAAAGCGUGGGGAGCGAACAGG